rnacentral:rRNA from 1 species
AACGAACGCUGGCGGCAUGCCUAACACAUGCAAGUCGAACGAGGCGUUCGGGUGUAGUGGCGCACGGGUGCGUAACGCCUUGGAACCUGCCCUUAGGUUCGGGAUAACUCCCCGACAGCGGUGCUAAUACCGGGCAAUCUCCUCGCACCAAAGAUGUAUCGCCUUUGGAUGGGCCCGCGUUGGAUUAGCUAGUUGGUAGGGUAAAAGCCUACCAAGGCGAGGAUCCAUGGCUGGUCUGAGAGGAUGAGAAGCCAGACUGGGACUGAGACACGGCCCAGACUCGGACGGGAGGGAGCAGUGGGGAAUAGUGGGAAAUGGGCGCGAGCCUGAGACAGUGAUGCCGCGUGAGUGAUGAAGGCCUUAUGGUUGUAAAGCUCGUUUACCCGGGAUGAUAAUGACAGUACCGGGAGAAUAAGCACCGGCUAACUCCGUG